AACGAACGCUGGCGGCGCGCCUAACACAUGCAAGUCGCACGCGAAAGGGGGCAACCCUGAGUAAAGUGGCGCACGGGUGAGUAAUGCGUAGGUGAUCUACCUCUGCGACCGGAAUAACCAGCCGAAAGGUUGACUAAUACUGGAUAGAGCGCACUGAUCGUAAAGGUUGGUGCGGGAAAGGGCGGCUGUAGCAAUACAGCUGUCGCGCUGAGAUGAGCCUGCGUCUCAUUAGCUAGUUGGUAGGGUAAUGGCCUACCAAGGCUUUGAUGGGUAGCUGGUCUGAGAGGACGAUCAGCCACACUGGAACUGAAACACGGUCCAGACUCCUACGGGAGGCAGCAGUGGGGAAUCUUGCGCAAUGGACGAAAGCCUGACGCAGCGACGCCGCGUGGGUGAAGAAGGCCUUCGGGUUGUAAAGCCCUGUCGAGUGGGAAAAAUGGCAUCUGCAAUAAUACGGCAGGUGAUUGAUGGUACCACUAGAGGAAGCACCGGCUAACUCCGUGCCAGCAGCCGCGGUAA
rnacentral:rRNA from 1 species